GGCAGCAGAGGUCAAAGUGCGCUGGCUACCUUGCUCUUCCUGUGGCAGAGUCUGGGAGGACACCUGGGAGCCGGCUAGCAAAUUCGCCUGAUGACCAAUACUGUUGUACUAUUUGUUUUGUAUAUAUUUGUCAAUAAUUAAAUUCACUAUUGUUACAUUU